AUACAUUACGGCCGUCGCUGCCAAUUCAGCGACCGGGUUUGGCGACCCGAGCA
rnacentral:ncRNA from 1 species